UGCGGAUUGAUGUAAUAGUAACAUAACAGGCUCAUGAUCUGUAGAUAAAGGUGCGAAUCCUUUGUCCGCAC